UUGUUGUUGUUGUUGUUGUUGUUGUUCUAUCAUUUCGUAAUACUGUUUGCUAAUAGUGUAUAAUAUGCUUUCAGGUUUUAAAGACACCAGUUUCAUUGGAUAUGCUUGGACGCAUCUUUAAUGGUUCUGGCAAGCCAAUUGACAACGGUCCUCCUAUUUUACCUGAGGCUUACAGGGAUAUCUCAGGCAAGUAUUGAGUUCUGGGAAGUCCAUUAUUUUGGUUUUUUUCUUGUGAUUUCUUUCUAGUAUAUCAUCAUAUGUGUAACAUGUCAACCUUAGGAAGUUCUAUCAACCCUAGUGAGAGAACAUAUCCUGAAGAGAUGAUACAGACAGGAAUUUCCACAGUAGAUGUCAUGAAUUC
rnacentral:lncRNA from 1 species